rnacentral:rRNA from 1 species
GACGAACGCUGGCGGCGUGCUUAACACAUGCAAGUCGAACGGAAAGGCCCUGCUUUUGUGGGGUGCUCGAGUGGCGAACGGGUGAGUAACACGUGAGUAACCUGCCCUUGACUUUGGGAUAACUUCAGGAAACUGGGGCUAAUACCGGAUAGGAGCUCCUGCUGCAUGGUGGGGGUUGGAAAGUUUCGGCGGUUGGGGAUGGACUCGCGGCUUAUCAGCUUGUUGGUGGGGUAGUUGCUUACCAAGCCUAUGACGGGUAGCCGGCCUGAGAGGGUGACCGGCCACAUGGGGACUGAGAGACGGACCAGACUGCUAUGGGAGGCAGCAGUGGGGAGUAUGGCAGAAUGGGCGGAAGCCUGAUGCAGCAACGCCGCGUGCGGGAUGACGGCCUUCGGGUUGUAAACCGAUUUCGCCUGUGACGAAGCGUGCGUGACGGUAAUGGGUAAAGAAGCACCGGCUAACUACGUG